rnacentral:rRNA from 1 species
CCUACGGGAGGCAGCAGUGAGGAAUAUUGGUCAAUGGACGAGAGUCUGAACCAGCCAAGUAGCGUGAAGGAUGACUGCCCUAUGGGUUGUAAGCUUCUUUUAUAUGGGAAUAAAAUGUUCCACGUGUGGGAUUAUGUAUGUACCAUUUGAAUCAGGAUCGGCUAACUCCGUGCCAGCAGCCGCGGUAAUCCGGAGGGUCCGAGCGUUAUCCGGAUUUAUUGGGUGGAACGGGAGCGUAGGUGGAUUGUUAAGUCAGUUGUGAAAGUUUGCGGCUCAACCGUAAAAUUGCAGUUGAAACUGGCAGUCUGGAGGACAGGAGAGGUAGGCGGAAGUCGUGGUGUAGCGGUGAAAUGCUUAGAUAUCACGAAGAACACCGAUGGCGAAGGCAGCUCACUGGACUGCAACUGACACUGAGGCUCGAAAGUGUGGGGAGCAAACAGGAUUAGAUACCCUUAUAGUC